rnacentral:rRNA from 1 species
GUUGAAGGCCCUGCAAAGCAGCAUCGCGGUGGCGGAGCGUCGUUUGCGACGCCCAACACACAAAACAAGCGGUGAGUGCUUUGGGGUGGGGUGACUGCGUACCUUUUGUAUAAUGGGUCAGCGACUUAUAUUCUGUAGCAAGGUUAACCGUAUAGGGGAGCCGAAGGGAAACCGAGUCUUAACUGGGCGUUAAGUUGCAGGGUAUAGACCCGAAACCCGGUGAUCUAGCCAUGGGCAGGUUGAAGGUUGGGUAACACUAACUGGAGGACCGAACCGACUAAUGUUGAAAAAUUAGCGGAUGACUUGUGGCUGGGGGUGAAAGGCCAAUCAAACCGGGAGAUAGCUGGUUCUCCCCGAAAGCUAUUUAGGUAGCGCCUCGUGAACUCAUCUUCGGGGGUAGAGCACUGUUUCGGCUAGGGGGUCAUCCCGACUUACCAACCCGAUGCAAACUGCGAAUACCGAAGAAUGUUAUCACGGGAGACACACGGCGGGUGCUAACGUCCGUCGUGAAGAGGGAAACAACCCAGACCGCCAGCUAAGGUCCCAAAGUCACAGUUAAGUGGGAAACGAUGUGGGAAGGCUCAGACAGCCAGGAUGUUGGCUUAGAAGCAGCCAUCAUUUAAAGAAAGCGUAAUAGCUCACUGGUCGAGUCGGCCUGCGCGGAAGAUGUAACGGGGCUAAACUGUGCACCGAAGCUGCGGCAGCGACGCUUAUGCGUUGUUGGGUAGGGGAGCGUUCUGUAAGCCUGCGAAGGUGUCCUGUGAGGGAUGCUGGAGGUAUCAGAAGUGCGAAUGCUGACAUAAGUAACGAUAA